GAUGAACGCUGGCGGCGUGCUUAACACAUGCAAGUCGAACGAAGCACUUUAACUUGAUUUCUUCGGAUUGAUUGUUAUUGUGACUGAGUGGCGGACGGGUGAGUAACGCGUGGGUAACCUGCCUCAUACAGGGGGAUAACAGUUGGAAACGACUGCUAAUACCGCAUAAGCGCACGGUAUCGCAUGAUACAGUGUGAAAAACUCCGGUGGUAUGAGAUGGACCCGCGUCUGAUUAGCUAGUUGGCGGCCUAACGGCCAACCAAGGCAACGAUCAGUAGCCGACCUGAGAGGGUGACCGGCAACAUUGGGACUGAGACACGGCCCAAACUCCUACGGGAGGCAGCAGUGGGGAAUACUGCACAAUGGGCGAAAGCCUGAUGCAGCGACGCCGCGUGAACGAUGAAGUAUUUCGGUAUGUAAAGUUCUAUCAGCAGGGAAGAAGAAUGACGGUACCUGACUAAGAAGCACCGGCUAAAUACGUGCCAGCCGCCGCGGUAA
rnacentral:rRNA from 1 species